rnacentral:rRNA from 1 species
GACGAACGCUGGCGGCGUGCUUAACACAUGCAAGUCGAGCGGUAAGGCCCUUUCGGGGGUACACGAGCGGCGAACGGGUGAGUAACACGUGGGUGACCUGCCUUUAGCUCUGGGAUAAGCCUGGGAAACUGGGUCUAAUACCGGAUAUGACUCCAUGAUGCAUGUUGUGGGGUGGAAAGCCUUGUGCGGCUGGAGAUGGGCCCGCGGCCUAUCAGCUUGUUGGUGGGGUGAUGGCCUACCAAGGCGACGACGGGUAGCCGGCCUGAGAGGGCGACCGGCCACACUGGGACUGAGACACGGCCCAGACUCCUACGGGAGGCAGCAGUGGGGAAUCUUGCGCAAUGGGCGAAAGCCUGACGCAGCGACGCCACGUGAGGGAUGAC